rnacentral:lncRNA from 1 species
UUAAAGUGAAUUAUUAUAAAAUUUGUGGGUGAAGUUAUUAAGUUGGAAAAGUUAAUGAUGAUGUGGAAUUAAGUGUCUUUUUGAUAAAUUAUUCAUCAAGUUUGGAACUUUGACAAAAAAGUUUUCCAUGGUGUCCUUUUGGCAAACUGGCCCCGGUAACUAUAGCAAGAUAAUAUAAUAAUUGAAGUACAAGAAACUUAAAAUAG